rnacentral:rRNA from 1 species
UGGGGAAUUUUGGACAAUGGGCGCAAGCCUGAUCCAGCCAUGCCGCGUGAGUGAAGAAGGCCUUCGGGUUGUAAAGCUCUUUCGCGAGGGAAGAAAACGGCAAGGUUAAUACCUUUGUCGGAUGACGGUACCUUGAUAAGAAGCACCGGCUAACUACGUGCCAGCAGCCGCGGUAAUACGUAGGGUGCGAGCGUUAAUCGGAAUUACUGGGCGUAAAGCGUGCGCAGGCGGUUUUGUAAGACAGAUGUGAAAUCCCCGGGCUUAACCUGGGAACUGCGUUUGUGACUGCAAGGCUAGAGUACGGCAGAGGGGGGUGGAAUUCCACGUGUAGCAGUGAAAUGCGUAGAUAUGUGGAGGAACACCGAUGGCGAAGGCAGCCCCCUGGGCCUGUACUGACGCUCAUGCACGAAAGCGUGGGGAGCAAACAGG